GUAGGUGGCCAACUGUCCCGACUUACCCAGGACUCUCAGUAUGAGAACUGAUAGAAUCCUGGGUAAGUCAGGGUGGCCGGCCACACCAGUCUG
rnacentral:pre_miRNA from 1 species